rnacentral:tRNA from 1 species
GGAGGUUUAGCUCAGUUGGGAGAGCAUCUGCCUUACAAGCAGAGGGUCAGCGGUUCGAGCCCGUUAACCUCCAACA